rnacentral:lncRNA from 1 species
GGAAAAGAAAGAGGAGGAGAAUGUUUCUUGUUAAGACUUGUGAGACAUGGGCACAAGUGUCCGGGGGGAAGGAGAAAAGAAAUACUUUCAGGUGCUGAGAGGUGGUCAUGGAAGUCUUGUCUGGAUAUAUGCAACUUCCCAGUUUGGCUCUCAAGGCUCAUCUAGGCUGACAGUAUGGAGGAAGCCUAGGAUGCUCCUCAUGCUCAGUGGGUCCUGCUGGAUGGGUAGACAAAAGAAAGACUGCACUGCUAGAAACUGGGGAUCCAGCUGGCAGCAGCUACUGUGGCAAGUUUGGGUCCAAACAGUGAGGAUACUGUCCGCUGUCUUGCUUGGGUGUAAAACAGAAUUAAAUCAUGUUUCCAAGUCAAAUGCCUUCUAAUAAUCCAUUACUCAGGACUGCUGAAGGGCAAAGUCUGGAGGAGAACAGAAAGAUCUAGUUAAGGUCCUUUGGAAAUGACUCACUCUUUUUUUUCAGUUUAAGGUUUGAUGGCUUCUGAGGGUGGCUUGUGAGCUGAAGCUUCUCUCCAAACACAAGGACAGAGGCGUCUGUCACAUAACCCAUGAAGAACCAUCACCUGAAAACUGUGCAUCACCUCGUGAGAAUCUCAGUCAGGGAUCCUUCAGUGUGUGUCACAUGGACAAAAAGAAAGGGGGAAACUCCUCCUGCAUGAACACGGCCGCAGGAUUGUCUUAAAGGUGCCGAGUUCCCACAAUCCAUGUGCAGCACACACGGUCCUCUUCCCACCCAGACCAUCCCAGCAGGAAGUCCUGCUGGGCCAGCUCAGCCCCAUGGGUGCACCUGGCUGUGGACUUGCACUAACACCGCACUGCAAGCAGCACCUGGCUCAUGCAGGACGUGAGGAUCCAUCCCAGUGCAGUCGGACACACCUGGGGAACCACGAGCCUUUCACCAGCUUUGAAAAAGAGUCAAGAGCAAGUGGGACCUCCAGAACAUGCAGCUCUAAGUGUUUGCCCUGCAAAGGGAUCUGGCAGUGCUGGUUCCCACCAACUCCUGUUGCUAAGUAGGGGCCUGAUCUGCAGCUUGCUGCUGGGGCACCAUCCGUCCUCAGA